rnacentral:snoRNA from 1 species
GUGAAAUGAUGUUUUGUCUGCACUGGAUGGAGCAUGUGAACAAUUUUUUAAGCUGAAGAA